UGGGGAAUCUUGCAAAAUGGGGGCAACCCUGAUGCAGCGACGCCGCGGGAGCGAUGAAGGUUUUCGAAUCGUAAAGCUCUGUCCUAUGGGAAGAUAAUGACGGUACCAUAGGAGGAAGCCCCGGCUAACUACGUGCCAGCAGCCGCGGUAAUACGUAGGGGGCGUGCGUUGUCCGGAAUUACUGGGCGUAAAGGGUUCGCAGGCGGCAUGGCAAGUCCGAUGUAAAAGGCGAAGGCUCAACCUUCGUAAGCAUCGGAAACUGUCAAGCUUGAGUGAAGGAGAGGCAAGUGGAAUUCCUGGUGUAGCGGUGGAAUGCGUAGAUAUUAGGGGGAAUACCGGUGGCGAGGGCGACUUGCUGGACUUCAACUGACGCUGAGUAACGAAAGCGUGGGUAGCAAACAGG
rnacentral:rRNA from 1 species